rnacentral:tRNA from 1 species
AUCUUUCUAGUACAAAAAGUAUCAGUGACUUCCAAUCACCAGAUCUUGGUUAAAAUCCAAGGAAAGAUA